rnacentral:rRNA from 1 species
UACGAAGGGGGCUAGCGUUGCUCGGAAUCACUGGGCGUAAAGGGCGCGUAGGCGGCCGAUCAAGUCAGUGGUGAAAGCCUGUGGCUCAACCACAGAAUUGCCUUUGAUACUGUUCGGCUCGAGACCGGAAGAGGUUGGUGGAACUGCGAGUGUAGAGGUGAAAUUCGUAGAUAUUCGCAAGAACACCAGUGGCGAAGGCGGCCAACUGGUCCGGUUCUGACGCUGAGGCGCGAAAGCGUGGGGAGCAAACAGG